rnacentral:tRNA from 1 species
GCCCGAGUGGUGAAAUGGUAUACACGCGACACUUAAAAUGUCGUGGCCGUAAGGCCGUGUGGGUUCGAGUCCCACCUUGGGCA